rnacentral:lncRNA from 10 species
CGGAAGCUUCUUGAGACCCCUCCUCCUCUGUGCACGGACAAGUGGCUGACUCUGGAGCCCAGGCUGUUGCUUCCCGGUCUGGUGAUGAAUCCAACAUAGUCUGGCCAAAGAUAAGAAUGAAGAGACACUAAACCUCUGAUUUUUGCAUUCUAAAGAGAAUUGUCAACAAGGACUAAGUGAAGCAUCUCUCUCCAGGUUUGUGAAAAGGUGUCAGAGCCAGAGGAGAAGAGUGGACAACCCAACUGCCCACCACAGGUCCCUAGAAGUACAGGUCAAGCCUAUGCUGGGGAGAGGCAAACAGGUUCCUGGUACAUAGCCGCUAAAACCCCUGGAAUUU